rnacentral:snRNA from 1 species
GGAUGUGAGGGCGAUCUUGCUGCGACAUCUGUCACCCCAUUGAUCGCCAGGGUUGAUUCGGCUGAUCUGGCUGGCUAGGCGGGUGUCCCCUUCCUCCCUCACCGCUCCAUGUGCGUCCCUCCCGAAGCUGCGCGCUCGGUCGAAGAGGACGGCCUUCCCCGAAUAGAGACGGACCGGUCUUCGGUCGAGGGUAUACGAGUAGCUGCGCUCCCCUGCUAGAACCUCCAAACAAGCUCUCAAGGUCCAUUUGUAGGAGAACGUAGGGUAGUCAAGCUUCCAAGACUCCAGACACAUCCAAAUGAGGCGCUGCAUGUGGCAGUCUGCCUUUCUAA